rnacentral:rRNA from 1 species
GUAACCAGAUUUGCUUCCCAAUUCCUCACUUUACAAAGCCUUGCAAACAAGGUCGGUUCACUAUGGAAGAUGGUGGUAUCCUCUAAGUGGGAGAAGAUCGAGGAUAUGCACUCAAAGAAACGCAAGGAUGCUAUAGCCAUAUUUGUUAACAAACCCUUCUUGAAGGGUGUGAAUCUUUGCAUCAAGGUGCUCGAGUCGUUGGUGAAGGUCCUCUGGUUGGUUGAUGCUGAUGCACGACCCUUAAUGGGCUUUGUGUAUGGAAAGAUCGUGAAGGCAAAGAAAUAAGUCAAAGAGGCCUUCGUAGUGUCGAGGCGCGCUACAAAGAUGUGUUAG